UUUCUUUUCGGGAGCACAUAUACUAAAAUUGGAACGAUACAGAGAAGAUUAGCAUGGGCCCUGCGCAAUGGUAGCUGUGGCCGAGAGGUUAAAGCGAUGGGC
rfam:Alligator mississippiensis ScZkoYb_383, whole genome shotgun sequence.